GACGAACGCUGGCGGCGUGCUUAACACAUGCAAGUCGAACGGAAAGGCCCUGCUUUUGUGGGGUGCUCGAGUGGCGAACGGGUGAGUAACACGUGAGUAACCUGCCCUUGACUUUGGGAUAACUUCAGGAAACUGGGGCUAAUACCGGAUAGGAGCUCCUGCUGCAUGGUGGGGGUUGGAAAGUUUCGGCGGUUGGGGAUGGACUCGCGGCUUAUCAGCUUGUUGGUGGGGUAGUGGCUUACCAAGGCUUUGACGGGUAGCCGGCCUGAGAGGGUGACCGGCCACAUUGGGACUGAGAUACGGCCCAGACUCCUACGGGAGGCAGCAGUGGGGAAUAUGGCACAAUGGGCGGAAGCCUGAUGCAGCAACGCCGCGUGCGGGAUGACGGCCUUCGGGUUGUAAACCGCUUUCGCCUGUGACGAAGCGUGAGUGACGGUAAUGGGUAAAGAGGCACCGGCUAACUACGUG
rnacentral:rRNA from 1 species